AAUGAACGCUGGCGGCGUGCUUAACACAUGCAAGUCGAACGAGAAAUCCUUGGCUUGCCAGGGAGAGUAAAGUGGCGCACGGGUGAGUAACGCGUGGGUAAUCUACCCUUGGAUUCAGGAUAACACUUCGAAAGGGGUGCUAAUACUGGAUAACAUCCUUUUGGUUUAGGCCGGAGGGAUCAAAGAUAGCCUCUAGAAGUAAGCUAUUGUUCAGGGAUGAGCCCGCGUACCAUUAGCUAGUUGGUGGGGUAAGAGCCCACCAAGGCGACGAUGGUUAGCUGGUCUGAGAGGAUGAUCAGCCACACUGGAACUGAAACACGGUCCAGACUCCUACGGGUGGCAG
rnacentral:rRNA from 1 species